rnacentral:rRNA from 1 species
ACGAACGCUGGCGGCGUGCUUAACACCUGCCAGUCGAACGGAAAGGCCCCUUUGGGGUACUCGAGUGGCGAACGGGUGGGUAACACGUGAGUAACCUGCCCUUGACUUCGGGAUAACUUCAGGAAACUGGGGCUAAUACCGGAUAGGAAUCCUUGCUUCUUGGUGGGGGUUGGAAAGCUUCGGCGGUUUUGGAUGGACUCGCGGCUUAUCAGCUUGUUGGUGGGGUAGUAGCUUACCAAGGCUUUGACGGGUAGCCGGCCUGGGAGGGCGACCGGCCACAUUGGGACUGAGAUACGGCCCAGACUCCUACGGGAGGCAGCAGUGGGGAAUAUUGCACAAUGGGCGGAAGCCUGAUGCAGCAACGCCGCGUGCGGGAUGACGGCCUUCGGGUUGUAAACCGCUUUCAGCAGGGGCGAAGCUUGUGGUGACGGUACCUGCAGAAGAAGCACCGGCUAACUACGUG